rnacentral:lncRNA from 1 species
GGCUACUAUGUUAAACAAAUGCAUUAAGUAUCUAAGUAAUAUGUUUAAGUAAAUGUCAUUUUUAUUCAAACACAUCCAUUUGGAGUGUUUCAUUCCAUCCUAUAAUAUUCAAAGCAAACAUACCUCUUUUCCCAUGUUUCCAUCUAAUAGGUUAUAUGUUUCUAGCUAAAGUAGCUCUACAUUAUUUCACAAUUUGUUUUGUUUUUCAUAAAUUUAACACAUAUUUGUCUAUAAAAACUGUCAUUUUCUUUAUAUCUUUUUUUCAUUGUGAUUUUUUUUAACAACAUUUUAUGAUAUCAAUAUGUUGUAUUUUAGAAUUUCAGAUUUUAAAAAACUCAAUUAUCAAUGCAUUAUAAUAUAAGUCAAUAAAAUUACUCAUAAAAAAUUCGCAUAUUCUCUUGUUUUAAUGUUUAAAAAAUAUAUUUAAUUUAAUAAACUAUAUAUAAAAUAAGUAUAAAUUAUUCUAAUAGUGUUGAUUUGGUGUAAUAAACAUAGUCACCUUGAGAAGGCUACUAUGUUAAAUAAAUGCAUUAAGUAGCUGAGUAAUAUGUAUAAGUAUAUGUUAUUUUUAUUCAAAUACGUCCAUUUGGAGUGUUUCAUCCCAUCCUAUAAUGUUCAAAGCAAUAUAGCUCUUCUCCCAUGAAUCCAUCUAAUAGGUUAUAUGUUUCUAGCAAAAGUAGCUCUACGUUAUUUUCAUAAUUUGUUUUGUUGUUCAUAAAUUUAACACAUAUUUGUCCAUAAAAACAGUUAUUUUCUUUAUAUCUUUUUCUCAUUGUAAUUUUUUUAAAACAACAUAUUAUGAUAUCAAUACAUUAUAUUUUAGAAUUUUAGAUUUUAAAAAACUCAAAUAUCAAUACAUUAUAAUUUAAGUCAAUAUAAUUAUUGAUAAAAAAUUCGCAUAUUUUCUUGUUCUAGUGUUUAACACAUAUAUUUAAUUUUAAAAAAGAUGUAUAAAAUAAGUAUAAAUUAUUACACAAGUGUUUA